CAGCGCCUUCGCGGAGGGAUCUGGGAGUGAAGCGCCGGACCGGGCGCGGGUCGCACAGGUGCUUCGGCCGGACGCGAAACGGCUUACAGUGGUUAGAAAGAAUGGAUGAUGUAGCUGCCCCACUUCCUACUUGCACUCUUGUUUAAUGGAAAAAUGCAUGGGAAAUCUGUGGAGGCGGUAAAGCGAGGCGUUCUAACUCUGGAAGGAAUUUUGCUAAAGUGAGGUCAAAAAGAGCAGUUAACAAAUGCAUCAUCACAUUCCGAUGUGUAGACUUUUUAAACCUGAAUCAUCUGUAAAGCUGAGGGCAUCGUUUGAAAACACUGACAAUUUCCUGUUAAUUUCCCCUAAAUGAAAUCAUCAAAUGCAUUUGUUUUCAUUCUGAAAAAAAAUGUGCUUUGCUACGAAAUA